GGACCGGCACUCAGCUUGAUCUGGGGCAAGGGGCUCCCAAGAAUCCCUUGGAGGGAGAGUAAGGGAUGGAAGUGCAUUUGAGGGUGCAGAAGACCCAGGAGCAAUAAGGGGUGCCUGCUGAGACGUGGGUGGUGGGUGGUGGAAGGUACCGCCUGACUUGGAAGCCCUAGGAAAAAUGCUCCCCAACUUGCGGGGGCGUCUGGGCGCCCAUCCGCCAGGCAGUCUAGGUUGGACCGCGGACUCUGCAGGGCUCUGCAGCAGCGAAGCUGCAGGUUAGACGAGAAGAGGAACUUCCCCGAGAGACACUGUAAACUAGCGAAGCUGCGGCGACUCCUUUCGGUCUCCUUUCCCCUGGCUUUCGCCCUCACCCCUUUCCCCAUCCCACUGACACCGCCGUGGGUGGGCAGACAAGGAUGAUCUCCGUGACCCUCGCGCACUGUACAGCUCGGGGUGGGGGGGGGGACAGUCGGUUCAUACUGGUUAGCUCAGAAAUGAUGAUGGGCAGCCCAGAGCCUAGUCAGCGUGGCUCUGAGGAGGGGUUGGCCCGUCCCCCAACGCCUUCUAGCCCCGGAGGGGGCUGGGUGAAGUGACCACGGGAGAGCCCUGCUGGCGAGGCAAGGAAGUGUGCAAUUUGUCAGCGCCCACACAGAGACCUGGAUGCUGCGAGUGCCUGAUGCCAAACCCCUACAUAUGGAGAAAGACUACUCCAAAGUCCUUGCAUUCUCUGUCAUUCAGUCAACCCAGCUAAUGAUACAAGAGGUUAUGACUUUGCCUGCUCCCCACCCUCCAACCUAUGGCUUACAAAAGGAAAUAAAAAAAAAAGUGAGGUUUGGAAGGAAAGAAUAGCCGGUUAAUAAGAGGCCAAGUUCCAGUUGCGGCUGAAGAAACUGAGACCCCUGGAGGUGAAGUGAUAUGCCCUCUUGGGACCAGAAGCCAUAGUUUCCUGUUUUACGUUCUUUUCCACCACUUUUCCACCUCUGGUUCAUAUGGAGCUCUCAGGCUUUAGAAGGCACCAGCCCAGAACUGUGACCCUUCCUGGGUUCCUUUUAUUCUCUCUCUAGUUCUGCCUGUGGACAGGCCACAGAGCAGCUCUGCCCUGAGAAUUUAGCUGGAGGGAGAGGGAGCUGAUUCGGGGGAGGAGUUCUCCCUGUUGUUCCAGAUUUCCAUUCUGGACCUGGUGGAGGAGGGUAGAGACAGCAGGUUGGUCAGAGCAUGGUUGGGGGAAGAUACCCCUUCCCCCAUAGCUGCUGGCCACGGAUAGGUGGGUCAGGAAUGGGCUUGUUUGUUUGUUUGUUUGUUUGUUUUAAAUCAUUGUGCUUCAUUGAGGAGAAGCUUCACUGUUGCCUAAGGAUAUCCCAAGAGAGGCACUGAGCUCUGAGAAUCAAGGAACAAAAAAGAGUUGUUUCUGAUUACAGGUGGAGAAUAAGAGGUCAGAGAGAGAGAGUGCUAGACCUGCAGAAGACAAAGAGUGCCAAUCCCCUCCACAACCACACUGGCUUCUUAAUAACAUCCUUUAACUGCAUUUAAAUCAAUUGUGGGCAUCUUGAGCACAAAUUGCAGAACUCUGAAGCCCAGGAAAUGAAAACAGCAUUGCGAAGUAUGAUGAGGGGAAGCUAUUUUUAAAGCAGAAGUCUUUGUGGGGGGCAGGGGGAGAGAGAAAAUUCCUAGAAGCCAGAGGGUCAGAUCAAAUGAGUGUCUUUUUAACUCCAUAGUAACCAUCUGCAUCCCAACCCACAUUAAUGCUGUGCGUAAUAUUAAGCAACAAAGGGGCUCAGGGACUGAGGCCCUCUCCAUUCCAGAGCCUUACCUCUAAAUCAAUACCAUCAAUUCCCCAACCUUUACCUGUCUCAGCUAGGGCAGGCUGUGGGAGACAGAAACCUGAGGCCUGGGGGUGGAUAUGAUUAUUAUAGGAUUAUUAUAGGCUGAACCAUAUGAAAUUGGUUUGGUUUUUCUUUUUUUUGGCCUACAAAAACAACUAUUUCACAUCAACUUGUUAAUUAAAAGAAUCAUCAUAAUAGCUACCAUUCAUUGAGCAACUAGAUUGUGCCAGAAACUGGAUGUAUAUCAUGCUGUUUAUGCUUCCUCGCAACCCAUAGAAGUAGAUAUGAUGAUCCUGAUUUCAGACGAAAGCUGAGAUAAGAAAGCAUUAGGUAACAAGAGGUAAAGCUUGGUUCAUUUUCUUGACUGCCUUUGCUUAUCCUACACAAUUGGGGUUGAAAGUAUACUCUGAACUCUGACAUACAAGGACCUGGAUCUUAGGUCCACUAGUGACUAUCUGUACGACCUUAUGUAAGAUUUAUAAACACUUAAAUCAUCAGUUUUAUUAGAGGUAAACUAGGAUGACAAUAAAAGGUGCGUCAUAGCUUUGCUAGGACUAAAUACAAUAAUGUCUGUAAAACACUGUGUUACUGUGCCUGGAAAACGAGAAGUGCUUAAUGGGUAGCUAUUGUCAUAAUGCCUUUUUUCUUCUGGAGCACACAACAGCCAAGGGCUUCUUGCCCCUCCCUGUCUUUCCUUUGUCCUUUUUUGGAGUAAAGCCUUCUCUCCGUAGCUUCUUCCAGACCACCUCCUCUCGGCUGUGUUUGAGUACCUCCUGGGGAGCAUUGGAAAAGGAAGAAUCAAUGGCAAAGCAGUCUCUGGGCCGCUAGCCCUAGGUGGAGGGAGACUGACUCAACAGGGGUUAGCCUUCACCCUGAUUGCAGCUUUGAGCCCUGCUGUGAUUUUACUUAGGGCAGGGACUGGCCUGAUUCUUCUACACCCUGUCCCAGGGAAUCCUGGACUCAGAAGGGCCCUUCUGAGCUGGAGGCACCCUUUGAGGACAGGGGGAGGAGCAGCCACGUCCAGGAGUCCCUGCUGCUGUUUACUGUCCUCCCAGCCCACCCUCCAUCUGCUCAGCAGCUCUCCAGCUCAGCCCAUGGUGAUGGACCCUUUGCUCACUCAGGGCUAUCUAGCUGUCUCGCACCCCAUCCCACCGUGCACGACUCUUUCCUGAGUUGGAAAUACAGCUGUGUCCACCUGACCCUGACCCUUUUUGCUUGCCGCUCUCCAGGAGGGACACACACACACACACACACACACACACACCAGCGCGCGGCCCUUCCUCAGUCCUUCUCCACGCCCGCAGCUCCCAUCUCUGCGCUUCCCACUCGCGCGUCGCCCUCGUCCCGGUCCCCCAAGGCUCUACUCCUACCCCACCCUCGCGAGGUCUCAGCCCAGUCACCCCACGAGUACCCCCUGCCCCGC